CUGAUGGGACCAGAGGGAGACGGCAGGGAGAGAACACAGGACAAAGAGCCCAGAGAGAAGCCUCAAGCCCAACGUUGCCAUUGGCUGGAUCCCGGCCCCUCGCUGGGCCUCAGCUUCCUCCAGGGCUGCCCUUCGAGGCAGGUGUCAUCAUGCCCAGGUUUCAGAGGAGGAGCUAAGACGUUGGUCGUGGCAGCGGAGAGAGGCAGAGCAGGACCACAUCUGGGCCCACCUGGAUGAACCUCAUGCUCCUUCUAUCAGACCGGCUGGCCCCCAAGGAGGGAUCUGGGAAACUUUGAGACCAUAACGGAUGGCAGGUCCACAAGAUGGAGGGAGCGCAGGUGCCUGAAUCACCGUAUGGAAGGAAGCCAUAGGCUGACUAGGAACGCUGCGCUGGGCUGAUAUAGGACUGAGAAAUAAAUGUCUGUUGUCUUAGGCCACUGAAAUGGCUCACUUUUCUUACAUGAAGCAUAAGGAUUUCCUGCUUUACCCCCUUACUCCUAGUCACACAAGUGAUCUUCCUCUGGACCCACUUACCUUAAACAAAGUAGAACAAGUUGUUAUAAAUUGCCCAUCAGUUUGUUU